UUGUGCUCUGGGCUGGAUAUCAUCAUAUAUUGUAAGUUCACAAUUCAGACACUACAGUAUAGAUGAUGUACUACACAGGGCUACAC
rnacentral:pre_miRNA from 13 species